AGUGGAAGCAAACAGGUUUUAAAACACGGGGGGAGAGGCUGCGUACAACAGAACAACCUGUUCUGAACAAGCAGAGCUUUUUGCUUCUGAGAGGCUGAGACAAAUGGAGGGAGCAAGGUUUUCACUUUAGGUAUCGAGAGAGAAAUGUCAAGAAGGUGGGCAGGACUGCAGAGCAGCAGAGCCCUGGCUGUGCAGUGCAUGCCCACCUCAAGUGCAAGCUCAGAGCAACUUCCCAAGCUGUGGUGACUGGGAAGCUCCCGUCCCCCAUCGCGGUCUGCGUGGCAGGGAAUAGCUGUGCUUCUGAGGUGCCUCCUCUCUAGCUGUGCUCCAGCAUGAACACUAACAGGGCACUGAAUUACUGAGUGGUGAAGAGAAGCCAUUGGGGUGUAGUACUUUACAGCUGCCUUCAAGCAAAGCGUAUUCAGACUUUGUAGGAAACCUGUAGUAACAGGAGGCUCCGUUCUGGCUCAGGUUCAGUUCUGUGUGAACUCAGCUGAGGCACUGGAAUGUACAUAAACGGGUUAAAAUUGUUGUUGAUGUCCUUGAGGAGGGUUGGGCCUUUAACAGUCCCUUAGAACCCAAACUGUUCUAUGAUUUAAAUGUGAAAGGUUUUUGGUGUUUGGAGUUUUUUUAAGCAUUAAGCCUCUGCUAAGAUAAGAGAGAAUGAAUGCCCCAGAGAGCCUAGGCAGGAUGGGCAGGAGCUCCCUGCUUUUAAAUAUCAAGAGUCACAGAUCGAAGUUAAAACGCACACAUUCCUGUGUGUUAUGGUUUGUCUGUGAUCACGUUGGUGUUACAAACACGGGCUCCGUGUGUAUAGUUUGCACUUAACCAGGAGAGUAGUAUUAAUUUUUAAAGAAGUAACUGUUGCUUAAGAUGCUAUUGUGUUGGGGCAAUGAAUUUUUCAUGUUUUUGUAGUACAUGCACGGAUGAAAAUCCAUUAUUUAUUGUACCUCCACUUGGUUGGGAAAGGUGAUGGUUUUACAGCACCAGCAGCCAUGCAAACACAGCCAUUCUGAACUGCUGGCUGAUAAUAAAUUUCCUUACUGUAAA
rnacentral:lncRNA from 1 species